rnacentral:rRNA from 1 species
AACGAACGCUGGCGGCAGGCCUAACACAUGCAAGUCGAACGCCCCGCAAGGGGAGUGGCAGACGGGUGAGUAACACGUGGGAACGUACCCUUUGGUUCGGAACAACUCCGGGAAACUGGAGCUAAUACCGAAUAAGCCCUACGGGGGAAAGAUUUAUCGCCGAAGGAUCGGCCCGCGUCGGAUUAGCUAGUUGGUGGGGUAAAAGCCUACCAAGGCGACGAUCCGUAGCUGGUCUGAGAGGAUGACCAGCCACACUGGGACUGAGACACGGCCCAGACUCCUACGGGAGGCAGCAGUGGGGAAUAUUGGACAAUGGGCGCAAGCCUGAUCCAGCCAUGCCGCGUGAGUGAUGAAGGCCUUAGGGUUGUAAAGCUCUUUCGCCAGGGACGAUAAUGACGGUACCUGGAUAAGAAGCCCCGGCUAACUUCGUGCCAGCCGCCGCCGUAAAAC